rnacentral:rRNA from 1 species
UACAGAGGUCUCAACCGUUGUUCGGAUUCAUUGGGCGUAAAGGGUGCGUAGGCGGUCGCGCAAGUCGGAUGUGAAAUCUCAGGGCUCAACCCUGAAACUGCAUUCGAUACUGCGUGGCUAGAGUGCUGGAGAGGAGACUGGAAUUUACGGUGUAGCAGUGAAAUGCGUAGAUAUCGUAAGGAAGACCAGUGGCGAAGGCGAGUCUCUGGACAGCAACUGACGCUGAGCACGAAGGCCAGGGGAGCAAACGGG